GGGGCCAUAGUUGAACGGGACAACGUAUCCUUCGCAAGGAUAAGAUCCGGGUUCAAUUCCCGGUGGCUCCA
rnacentral:tRNA from 1 species